UACGAAGGGGGCUAGCGUUGUUCGGAAUUACUGGGCGUAAAGGGCGCGUAGGCGGUGUGCCAAGUCAGGCGUGAAAGCCCCGGGCUCAACCUGGGAACCGCGCUUGAGACUGGCACGCUCGAGUUCGGGAGAGGAUGGUGGAAUUCCCAGUGUAGAGGUGAAAUUCGUAGAUAUUGGGAAGAACACCGAUGGCGAAGGCAGCCAUCUGGACCGACACUGACGCUGAGGCGCGAAAGCGUGGGGAGCAAACAGG
rnacentral:rRNA from 1 species